rnacentral:misc_RNA from 1 species
AAGUCGUAACAAGGUCUCCGUUGGUGAACCAGCGGAGGGAUCAUUACAGAGUCUCGUACUCCCUAAACCACUGUGAACUUACCACUGUUGCUUCGGCGAGAUGCCGGCCGGCGCCCACUGGGGCCCUGCCGGCGGACCGCCGGGGACCCCAAACUUUUGAAUAUCAGAGGAUCUUCAGAGACAGCGCAAGCAAUCAAAACUUUCAGCAACGGAUCUCUUGGCUCUG